rnacentral:rRNA from 1 species
CAGUCGCCACGGGAAUACGUAGGGUGCAAGCGUUAAUCGGAAUUACUGGGCGUAAAGCGUGCGCAGGCGGUUAUAUAAGACAGAUGUGAAAUCCCCGGGCUCAACCUGGGAACUGCAUUUGUGACUGUAUAGCUAGAGUACGGCAGAGGGGGAUGGAAUUCCGCGUGUAGCAGUGAAAUGCGUAGAUAUGCGGAGGAACACCGAUGGCGAAGGCAAUCCCCUUGGCCUGUACUGACGCUCAUGCACGAAAGCGUGGGGAGCAAACAGGAUUAGAUACCCCUGUAGUCCCUGUCUCUUAUAC